rnacentral:misc_RNA from 1 species
UCAAGUUAUCCGAAAUGAUUCGUGGCGGUUCACCCGUAAUAUAUGACCGAAACAAGACUUCAAGGUUCGGAAUUUUGUCAAAAAAUGACGAAAACGAAUCAAGAAUCCGAUGGGUUGAUGUGCCAAAUUGUUUUUGCUUCCAUUUGUGGAAUGCAUGGGAAGAAGUUGGCAGCAAUGGUGACAAAAUUAUCGUGGUUAUCGGGUCUUGCAUGAACCCUCCGGACUCCAUCUUCAACGAAUCCGAAAUUCCAAUUCAAAGUGAAUUAUCCGAAAUUCGGUUGAAUUUGAAUACUGGAGAGUCGAUCCGGAGUGCUGUAGUGUCGGGAAUGAAUUUGGAAGCAGGCCAAGUAAACCGAAAACGUCUGGGUGAGAAAACCCGGUUCGUUUACUUGGCAAUAGCAGAGCCAUGGCCUAAGUGUUGUGGCAUUGCUAGGGUUGAUCUGCAGAGUCGAGAAGUGACCAAAUUUAUGUAUGGUGAAGGAAGGUUUGGUGGUGAGCCAUUUUUGGUGGCGAAAAAUGGGCGAGUUGAUGAAAUUGGCAAGGAAGACGAAGGGUACGUAAUGGGUUUUGUGAGGGACGAGAUGAAAGAAAGGUCUGAGUUGGUGAUAGUAAAUGCAUCAAGCAUGGAGCAAGUAGCUUCUGUGAGGUUGCCCACUAGAGUGCCUUAUGGGUUUCAUGGCACUUUUGUUAGUGAAGAUGAAUUAAGAGGACAAGCUUAGCUAGCUUUAAUGAAGAAUUAUUAUCUGCUAUUUCUACACAUGAUCAAUAGAUUAAUAAGCCUAGAUUGUAGUUUUGUAUAUAGGUUUCAAAAUAAAAUGAAUGAAAAAGCAUGUUCAUGUACAAG